rnacentral:rRNA from 1 species
GGGGAAUAUUGGGCAAUGGGCGAAAGCCUGACCCAGCAACGCCGCGUGAGAGAAGGAGGUCUUCGGAUUGUAAAUCUCUGUCAUUGGGGACGAGUAGAAGACGGUACCCAAGGAGGAAGCCCCGGCUAACUACGUGCCAGCAGCCGCGGUAAUACGUAGGGGGCAAGCGUUGUCCGGAGUUAUUGGGCGUAAAGGGCGCGUAGGCGGCCUGCCAAGUCGAUUAUGAAACCCCCGGGCCCAACCCGGGAUAUGCAAACGAAACUGGCGGGCUUGAGUGCAGGAGAGGAAAGCGGAAUUCCCAGUGUAGCGGUAAAAUGCGUAGAUAUUGGGAGGAACACCGGUGGCGAAGGCGGCUUUCUGGACUGUAACUGACGCUGAGGCGCGAUAGCGUGGGGAGCAAAC